rnacentral:rRNA from 1 species
UACGUAGGGGGCUAGCGUUGUCCGGAUUUAUUGGGCGUAAAGAGCGUGUAGGCGGCCAGGUAGGUCUGCUGUGAAAACUCGAGGCUUAACCUCGAGAUGUCGGCGGAAACCAUCUGGCUAGAGUCCGGAAGAGGAGAGUGGAAUUCCUGGUGUAGCGAUGAAAUGCGCAGAUAUCAGGAAGAACACCCGUGGCGAAGGCGGCUCUCUGGGACGGUACUGACGCUGAGACGCGAAAGCGUGGGGAGCGAACAGG